CAUUUUAAGAGUAUGUUAGUCGUCUAUGCCAAGUUCAAUAACUCAAGAUUAAAUUAGCUGGGUCUUUUAUCAGACUUAUACUGUUAUUGAUGUUGAAGCAGCAGCACCUUUUCUUAACUGAAAUCAUCUCAUUACACUUCACAUGUUUAAAAAGUUACAUCGAUAUAAUGAUUUUCGGUAUCGCUCCAGAAGCGACGUCUGAUCAUGCACGAGGACAUGGACAAAGGGCUGAAGUUUGAGGACAAAGAGUUUGAGUAUGAGGCCUUGAACAGGAGGACCUUGUUAGUAACAGCCAAAUAUAUCUGAAAAAGUCUGAACUAAACUAAACUAAACACCAAUAAACUUGUGCGGUACAUGUGAACCAAAAUGAGUGAUUUAUUAUACAGUUCAUAGUUUGGCCACCUGAACCUUUUGAAUGUAUUGAUGGUGAAACAUUUUGGUAUUUUUAUUGAGGGAAAAAAAAACACUUCUGUCUAUGUAUCUUCUGAAAACCAAAAUCUCACGAUUCAUCUUUAGGAGCCGUGUUCCUUGGAGGAAGAAAAGUCAGAGGGGAAUGGGUGCAUUGAGCCUUGUGUGACAACCCAUCAUGAAAAAAAGGAGUUGUACUCUCCUUUAAAAAGGAAGCCGAUUGAAUCCAGGAAGCAUGGUGCCUGUGAUGAAAAGAAGAAACCCAGGGAGGAGAACGUGUCAGAGAUUGAUGUCUGCAAAGCUGAUGGGGAGGGCCAUGUCAAAGAUGAAAUGAGCUGUGGUCCUGGAUUGAACAACAGCUGAGGAAUAUAGAUGCAUUGAACUUUGUGUGAGCACCUGCAGUGGACCAAAG